UGUAGCAUCAACGUGACACGGGCACCCCCGGGACUCAACCUUCUCGGUGUCUCCCCGCUCGCAGGGUGGCUCAAGCGAGUCCUUGAAGCUGCGUAUGUCCCUGCCAUCAACGAUGCCCUGAACGUGUCGGUCCCUCUGCCCAACACCCUCAACGCCAGCCUCAGGGAGGCCCAGGUGGACGUCACCGAUGCAGACGAUUCUCUCCACCAAACGGCUCUGAAGGGAUCCUGCUCGGGAGGGGCCCUGGCCCAGCUCAGGGGCUGAGGCAGGCGCCGUGCCCGGCCCCUCUCUGCUCCUUCCAGCUCUGUUUUCCCUCAAGCGACCCCCUGCGCUGCCGCUGUGGCCCGGGAGGGACAUGGGGACACAGGUGACCGUCUCCGGUCCGUCCUGGCACGGCGGCUGGGCUGUGGGUGUUGGGGGGUUCUGCGGUCCCUCCUCACGUCCGCAGCCAGGAAGCUGAGCUCUUCCUUAGGCAUAAGGGUUGCUCUCAUAUUGCUCCUUCAAUAAAAUCUCUGUCUGUCUCAGUA